AUUGAACGCUGGCGGCAGGCCUAACACAUGCAAGUCGAGCGGAUGAAGGGAGCUUGCUCCUGGAUUCAGCGGCGGACGGGUGAGUAAUGCCUAGGAAUCUGCCUGGUAGUGGGGGAUAACGUCCGGAAACGGGCGCUAAUACCGCAUACGUCCUGAGGGAGAAAGUGGGGGAUCUUCGGACCUCACGCUAUCAGAUGAGCCUAGGUCGAAUUAGCUAGUUGGUGGGGUAAAGGCCUACCAAGGCGACGAUCCGUAACUGGUCUGAGAGGAUGAUCAGUCACACUGGAACUGAGACACAGUCCAGACUCCUACGGGAGGCAGCAGUGGGGAAUAUUGGACAAUGGGCGAAAGCCUGAUCCAGCCAUGCCGCGUGUGUGAAGAAGGUCUUCGGAUUGUAAAGCACUUUAAGUUGGGAGGAAGGGCAGUAAGUUAAUACCUUGCUGUUUUGACGUUACCAACAGAAUAAGCACCGGCUAACUUCGUG
rnacentral:rRNA from 1 species